rnacentral:rRNA from 1 species
ACAUAUCAAUAAGCGGAGGAAAAGAAACUAACAAGGAUUCCCCUAGUAACGGCGAGUGAAGCGGGAUGAGCUCAAAUUUGUAAUCUGGCGGCCUCUGGUCGUCCGAGUUGUAGUCUGGAGAAGCGUCUUCCGCGUCGGACCGUGUACAAGUCCCUUGGAACAGGGCGUCGUAGAGGGUGAGAAUCCCGUCUUUGACACGGACUGCCGAUGCUUUGUGAUGCGCUCUCGAAGAGUCGAGUUGUUUGGGAAUGCAGCUCAAAACGGGUGGUAAAUUCCAUCUAAAGCUAAAUAUGGGCGAAAGACCGAUAGCGAACAAGUACCGUGAGGGAAAGAUGAAAAGCACUUUGGAAAGAGAGUUAAACAGUACGUGAAAUUGUUGAAAGGGAAACGCUUGAAGUCAGUCGCGUCUCCUGGGACUCAGCCUUGCUUCUGCUUGGUGUACUUCCUGGGACGACGGGCCAGCAUCGAUUUUGACCGUUGGAGAAAGGCCUUGGGAACGUGGCACCUUUGGGUGUGUUAUAGCCCUCGGUCGUAUGCGACGGUUGGGAUUGAGGACCGCAGCACGCCUUUUUGGCCGGGGUUCGCCCACGUACGUGCUUAGGAUGCUGGCGUAAUGGCUUUAAGCGACCCGUCUUGAAACACGGACCAAGGAGUCUAACAUGCCUGCGAGUGUUUGGGUGGUAAACCCGGACGCGAAAUGAAAGUGAAAAGUUGGGACCUCUGUCGUGGAGGGCACCGACGCCCGGACCAGACCUUCUGUGACGGUUCCGAGGUAGAGCAUGCAUGCUGGGACCCGAAAGAUGGUGAACUAUGCUUGAGUAGGGUGAAGCCAGAGGAAACUCUGGUGGAGGCUCGUAGCGAUUCUGACGUGCAAAUCGAUCGUCGAACUUGAGUAUAGGGGCGAAAGACUAAUCGAACCAUCUAGUAGCUGGUUCCUGC